AUGGUGAUGACAGUCCAGCAAUGCCCGAAAUUCGGGCAGCCAUGGAUGUUGCAAAGACACAUAACGGAUGCAUUGUCACAAAGGCCAGGCCUACAAAGUCAAGUGCUAGCAAUUGUUGACAAGAGGUGGGAUAACCAGAUGGAGCAAAAGCUACAUGGGGCUGCAAUGUUUUUGAACCCCAGCAAGUUCUUUAAAAUGAAGGAGACUAACAAAAGACUAGCUGCACGGCUGCGUUCAAUGUUCAAUGAUGUGCUAUGGAAGAUGGUGACCGAUGAUGAACUACAAUCCAAGAUAAGUAAAUUGGCUGAUGAUUAUGAGCGAACGGAGGGUGAAUGUUUCACCAAGCAAAUGGCAAUUAAAGACUGCAAGAAAAAGAGUCCUCGUAAGUAUCUAUGUUGUUGCAGCUUGGAGCUUAUCUUCUUGACUCUAUGUUUCAACUUCUACUUGCUUGUUUCAACUCCUACUUGCUAA
rnacentral:rRNA from 1 species